rnacentral:lncRNA from 1 species
AACUUUUCAUUUUUCAUUUUCUCUACACACAAAUGGUAGCCCCAAGUCAAAUCCUUUACACCCAUACAAAUGUAAUCACCAACCAUAGCCCCCAAAAUCAAAAUCCUCACAAAUCACUUCUCUUAUAUAAACCCUUAGUUCCCAAAAUCAAAUCCUCAUAUUCACUUUUCUAUUACAAACUCUAAAGCCUAACAAAUCUCAAUCUCAAAAGUUUAACCCACUAACUAUAAUAUAUCAUCAGCGAACACCACACCAGCCCCUGCCUCUACCAUCAUGUUUGCAAUUGUGCUCUUCGUUCACUGUUGCUUCGUGAUUUCCUCGUCCACCUUUCUUUGUGUUUCCUUUUUGGUUUAUAUUGACUUGUUGUUGAGCUUUGGUGUUGUAAAAACUUGCUUUGAUAUUUGAUUUUUAUUGUUCCUGACUUGCUAUAGCAAAAUCAUGAAAAGCAUAAUGAAAUCUGAAAGGGAAAAGAUUCAGAAUUGAAAACUGAAUCGAUAAAUUAAAUCCAUCGACUUCGAUUCAGUACUUUUUUUUUUUAGUUCUUUAACAAUGGACACUGAACUGAAAUUUUCCAAAAAUGACCCAAUGCCCACUUUUACACUAUAUAGCAUUGGACUAAUACGAUAAUAUGGUUGGUGAAAAAAAUGAAAGUAUAAUAUCACUGUUGUAAUGCUACAAAUCACACAUUAACAAACUUGUGAGGGGCUCGAGUUUACGCAUGAUCAAAAUAUAAAAGUUAAAAUUAAAUUAAAUCUUUUAUUUCUUUUCAUCAAAUGCAAGAUCCAACCACGAAAAAAAUACUUAAUCUUCCCUUCCUUCGUCACGACGCCAUUACCUAGCCUAUCAUAAUUGCUCAAAACCGUCACCAAGUCCAUCAUUGUUGCGCCUUAACAUUGUUGUGCAACACCACAAUCCGUAGCCGCUGAUCCCCCUUGUCUGCAUCAUGCGACACCACAAGCACAACUUCACCACAACUGUGCUGCCUUCAUCGCCUCAUCAUCAAGCAACAGGUUAGUGUUAGGUUUUAAUUAUUAAAUCUUAAAUUAAUUGGAGGUUCAUUUGAAUGGUUGAUUAUUCUACUAAUUUGAAAUUGAUUUAUAAAUCUUAAGGCUUAAAUCUCAAGAUUGAACUAAUAUAAGGAAUUAAUUUGAAUUGUUAAUUACAUUUAUAGUUAGACUAAAGCAAAGAGAUCUUAUUGACAAGGUGUUGAGUGCUGCAUAUUUAUAAAGGAUAAAAUUGUUAUUUUGCGCUCCAAGUCUCACUAACAUUUCUAUUUUUAUGUAUUUAAGUCUUUUAAACUUUGAUUUUGUGUGUUAGUUAUAAUCUAAGUAUUUUAUGUAUUUCAAGAGUAUUUUGGCCAUUUUACAAUUAAUAAGAAAUCAUGUAGCAAAACGGAUUGCAUUUUUUAGCUUAGAACAGUUGAAAACCUCCGGAAGAGCAUAAAGGGCAAAAUUAUAAUUUUAGAUUUUGGAGGGGCCUCGUUUAUGUGGUAUUGACCAGCUGAUGUGGCAUCGAUUGAUGAUGUGGUAGCAUUUUAUUGGACUGAAAAAUACUGGUGAGGCAUUGACCAAUAAAGUGCCAUUGACUAAUGACGUGGUAGCAUCCUCUUGAACCGAUAAAUACUAAUGUGGCAUUGACCGAUGACAUGGUAUUGAUUGAGAACAUGCCACUAUCCUAUUGGACUAAAUGAGGAAUUGACAUAUGAUGUGGCAUCAUAUUAUUGGACCAAAUUAUAGCCCUGGUGAUGUUUUUGAGCCAAUCAAAACAUGCCAUGUGGCGCAAUCCUGAGAGUCUGAAUUAUUUUCAUCCCAUGGCCAUGAUUUACCCAUUGUAUCUAUAAAUAUGCAGCUCCCCCCUAAUUUGACAACUCUGAAUUCAAAUUUGAGCUCCAUUUUGUGUAAUUCUCACUUUAUCUUGUAAUUUCUACAUAUUUUAAUAACAUUACAAUUUUACUCCUAGUUCAAAUAUGAGUGGCUAAUUUAUUUUCAAGCUUGGUUAAAGGCGAAGCCUCAAUAUGAUUGAUGAGCUUAAUUUGGUAAGUUUAUGCACCCUCUCUAAUUUGAUUGGAUUUUUUUGACUUAUCAUUGACAAACAGUAAUAAUCUUGUCUAGAUUUUGCAGGGUAUACCUGCUUCUUAGUGUAAGAUCAUUACUGUUUGGCACGGUGAGCACUUUACAUUGUAUUAAUUAGAGAAAAAUUCCCCUCUAGUAUUUGUGGAUUAUCUUGACUUAGUGUUCACAGAGAAUGUAACUAAGUUAUUUAGUAGGCAGUCUUACCACAUUGUCGACAGUAGGAUAAUUAUCACCUGGUAUAACGUGUACUUCACAAAGAAUGUAUCUAAGCCCAUGAUGAAGUGUUGAGUAUGAAUUCAAAGAUGCAAGUGAUUCAUUUGAAUUGAUUCAUCUUUAAUUUAUUCCCACCAUUUAUUUUAAAUCUUAAUAUUGCUCAAAAAUCAUCUCUAACUACUUCACAACAAACUUAGAAAAGUAAUCCUACACAUAAUUAAAUCUACCUCCUCUUGGGAUCGAAACUUGUCACUACUAAUCAAUAUUACAAUAGAUUCGUGUGCAUAUGAGCACAAGAAAAUUUGCACAACAUAGGGGCACAGCCAAAAAACAAAUUUGGUGGGCUAAAUUCUUUAUAAGUACAAAUAUUAUCUUAAUUGAAAAUAUAAAUCUUAAUGAAAUUUUCAUUAAUAUAUACGAAAAUACAUCAAAUCCAAGAAGCAAUUCAAUUUAAAUUAUAUGCUAUUUAAGUUGUGCCUUGCAAUAUUUUCAAGAAUUAAAUUCAUUUAUUAUUAAAUUCCAAUCGAUAGUGUCAACAAAUUCUCUUUCAAUGUAGAUAAUCAUACAAUUUAAUAGAAUUUUUUUCUCCAUCUUAUUUCAAAGUGUUGUCUUGAAAAGUAAAGUAGUAAAACCAUAAAAGAAGUUAAAAGAAACAAUCACAGAUAAGUUUAAUUAAAAAAUUAACAAAAGCCAUACAACCAUUAGUCUAUCACUAUGACAGAUUCACAUUAUCCAAAAGCCAAACAAUAAGUGUAUUUUAUAAAAUAACAUUAUAUAUAAUAUACUGGAUUGAAUCUAUCUAUCUCUAAUCUGAAAAUCAUUUUUCCUUCUGGAGGUAAAAUUUUGAGGAAAUAUUUUAUAAGAUCACUAAAUAGAAAAUUACUUAAUUUAAUUAAAACUUUUCUUAAAUAAGUUUCUUUUUCUCAAAGAAUGUCUUUAAGUGCCAUAGUUGCAACUUGCAAGCCAGAAAUAUUAAUGCAUAUAAACAGUGAAAACCCACUAAAUCCGGCUAUUCUAGAGUUAGUAACACGGUUCAGCUCCUGCAAUUCUUCUUCUCUUGCAUGGAGAUAAAACAUCUCCUGGUGAAUAGAACUAUCUGCAAUCUAUGAACUAUCAAUAAUUAAUUUAAAAUUUUGAUUGCUAGAGCCUAGAAUUCAAUGGUUAAAUUAGUGACCUAACAAUAAUUUAAUCUUACACAAUGAGAUUAGAACAAAAACUAACGAACAUGAUUAAAUAAAAAAAUAAAAUAAAUUUAUUAUCUAUUUGUAUUUCUUACCAAGAGAAGAGGAAUAAGAAGCCAAGAAAGGGCACAAUCUGGAACUGAAAGAAUGAAGUAAAUGCUCACCUUAUUUAUUUAUAUGAUUGGCAAAAUCGUAAAUUAAUAUAGUGGUCCAGUUGUAAAUAAAAUUAUAAAACAAUGAAAAUUUAAUUUUCUGCAAUGGUAUUUUUUGUAAAUGUUUCAAAAAUUUGGACGAGCUACAGCCCACACACAGUUGCGCCUCUCCUUAUUGAUGUCUAAGUACUGAAAAUCUAAACUAUAUAUAUAUAUAUAUAUAUAUAUAUGUAUGUAUGUAUGUAUGUAUGUUGCUUCCCCAAUUUUCUAUUGUGGUGUUUACUCAAGGGGCAGUGGCAUAUACUAUCCAAUUGCAUAUCGGGUUUGGCUGUUAGAUCUUUUUAUUUUUUUCAUUGUAUUUAUUUGAUGUUCAAAGUUGUAACUUGGACAGUUGGGCUGCUCCUAGAAAACUUAGAAAUUUUGUAUAAAUGCAGAUGUUCAAAAUUUGUAUAAAUUUGUAUAAAUGAAGAUAAUGUAAUCUUUAAAAAUAUUUGUAAAUGUAUAAUUUGACAUUCAAAGUGUAUUAGUUAUAAGAAGAACUAAUGCAUAUUGAGAAACAUAUUAGCAAGCAAGUAAUAGCUUAUACUACGGUUAUUGUGUUGUAAACCACGAAAGAACUAUGGACAGUGUUGAAACCUUUCCCACAGUAUUAUAGAUCAAUUCAAGAGAAGCUUUUCUUCCUGAAUGCUAUACAAUUCAAAAAAUAUAAGUUGGGAUGUAGAUGUAACUAUUAGAAGUUCUGAAGUUGCCUAGAUGCUGUGAUUCGAAACUCAGGAGGAGAGUUAGCGGCGAAAGCAGUGAAUAAAAUUGAAUUUAUAGAUGAGUCUUACAAAACAAAGCCUAAGGCCAUAUCGUUUGGCAUCAAUGUGGCCAAAGAUUCAUUCUUAUUAUGGAUCUUGUAAUUUCUCUAAGGAUUCAUUCUUAAUCUUAUAUUAUUUGCAGUGUAACAAAUACAUUCUUCUUGGCGAAACUACUUUCCGCAAUAAAUGUGUAAAAAAUCCGACGUAAAUAAUAAAAAUGUAAUAUAUAAAAUAGAUAAUUUAUUUAAAAUUUCCCGCAAAUACCAAUAACGCUCUCGAAACCAUUCUUGAUCCUCGACCUCUGAAAACCUAGUUCGCUGUCCUCUGCACUCUUAAUCCCUAAUUCUUCAAUUAAUUUAAUUGUAAAGUGAGUGGGAAAAGGGAAGGCGAAGAUAAUUUUCAGUUAAAGCUUCAGGAUUGGAGAGAUCUUCAAUUCAAGUUCUUCAUUAAAGCAGUUUAAUCCGGUGAGUUUAAUUUUCUUUUCAUAUGAUUAAAUCUUGCUUUACAUUCUUUUUAGAUAUUCUCCACAAAAUAAUCAAAUGAUUUAAUUGUAAAUCUUUUAUUUCCUUUUUGCUCUUAUAUAUAUACAGAUUUUGAAAAGCUUUUCAGAUUGUUUGUUCGAUUUGUAUUCGGCCCAAUCUCUUGAUUAAGGAUAGGGUUUUCUUCUACAUACUUUUAUCUAGACAUUGAAGUUCGUUAAUUUAUAUAUUUAGGUGGAAAUUGUCACCAAGUUGUAUAUUUUUUGAAAGGGUGGAUUAAUAAUUCCCAAUGAUUCUAGUAUCAUUUUAGUAACAAAUUAAUAGAUAAGUAUCUGAGCUGUUCUAUGACAAAUUUAAUAUCUGAGCUGUUCAAAGUUUUAGCUUUCUUGUUGAUCAGGUUCUUAUAUAUUUCUAAGUGACAAGUUUUGCAGUAUCUACUUUGUCUCCUGAGAAAAGAAUUUUUUUAUCAAUCCUGUGAAUAAGCAAAGUUUUUAAGUGAUGCCUAAGCCAAAUUAAUAUAUAUUUUGCAUGUAACUAAUAACAGCACUACCUUGACUUUGGAGAAAAUUCUUCAAUGAAAGUGCUUUGACAAGAAUAUACAGCUAGCCAGGAUAUUAGUUUGUCCAUCAAAUGCAAGAAUCUGAAUCUCGUCUUGAAGUGCUCAUUGAAGUUUUGAUAAAGUGUCUUUUGAAGCUGGUUUAGAGUAUUACUUACGCAUAUUUGAGUAUGAUACACUUGGGACCUAUGUGAAAGCGGCUCUUAUUUAUCUUGGGAUAGCUCUUGUUAAGGUUAGUUAAUGUGGUUAAUUAAUUAUUUAAGCUAGAUAAGCUAUGAAUUAACUAAAAUUCAACUUGUUACUCAUGAUUGUAACUUGUUUAUUUGGCGACUUUUGUUAAGGUAACAAUUUCAUUUCUUAUUAGAUAUUUUUUGUCCUUUUAUUUUCAUUUUUUUUUUGUUUUACCUUGUAAUUUUUUGCUGACUUUUAAGUAUCUUAGACAGCUAGAUAAUACAUGUAAUGAGAGCGUAGUAGGCAAACUUAGAUUUCAGCUUCAUAGGUAUUCAAUCACUAAUAAUUGAUUAUUGUCUUCAUACACUUGUUGCAUUUCUUCUUUUUUUUUAAGUCUGUUAUACAGAGAUGUUACUGACAUUAUAUCAGACAUUACAAUUAAUAUUUACAAUCAUAUUAUAUAAUUGGAACCACCGCCAUACAUUGACACACUGAAGCACUUGCCCAUAUAUUUUAAACCCUCUCUAAUAUUCGAGGGGCACUUCACUCGCAUUUCGUAAGGGAGAGACUGUCUCCACUCAAUUAUAUUGAUAAUUGAGGGAGUAUUGAAAUUAACCCCCAUAAAGCUCUAUGGAGGCUCGAACCCUUGCACUCAACAUUGUAAGUGCAAGACUUCUCCCAUUGGACCAAAGUCCCAUUGGUCACUUGUUGCAUUUCUUAAGUUUGUAGUAAUCUAUUCUAAGCAAAUUUAUAUUUAUUCUUUGAUAAUUACAUUUAAGAGAUAUUAGAGGUACAAAGAUUUUCCAUAAAUGCGUACUAGGCAUAGGAAUUGAUCUAAAAUGCUUGUUUAUGUUAUGCAUUCUGGUUGAUAGUUCAGGUAAUGCACUAGCUAAGUUCUUAUGGUUCAAAAAAGAUAAAAGUACAUGUUACCGAAUUUAUCUUCAAUUUUCAAUGUGCUUAAUCUAACUAAUAAUUCAACAUCCCUAGAUCAUCGUUAAUGACAUUGUUCAAUAUCAAUUCUUGUGAUUUUACUUUUGCUGUUAGCAAGCAAAAAUGACUGAGAAUUAUCCAUUUUUCUACUCAAGCACAUUGUUGAUGAGUUCAACGGGAUCACUCAAUCUGUUCUUCAUGCCAUAUAUGUAACAACUGUUACUGCAUGAUUAAUUUAUAGACACCAAAGUUGGCAUAGUCACUACAAACAUUUAUCAGUAUCAUUGAUUUAGCCUUUCUUUUUUUAAUUUGGACCAACCUAGUUAAUUUUCAUGGCAUUGGUUUGCAGGGAGCUCCAUGUUGACCAUUACAUAGUUGGCAUGGUGCAUAGAAAAGAGAGACCAUCUAUUUUUCUAUCUAUUUUCAGUCCCAUCAUGCUUUUGGUGACUGCAAUUGGAAGCUCCCUGAUUAUCCAAGAAACUAAAUUUAGGAAGGUGUUUGAUGUUGCCUACUCUCCUUUUAUCUACUUUUUGUAUAUGUUGGCAACAUUUAGUUGAUAUCAGCCCAUCGUUAGAGAAAGAAUAAUUAAUUAGUUUCCUCUUAGCCUUUAAUAAUUGAAUCAACUCCUAAGUCUUUUUUCCAUUCUAAUUUUAGGGAUAAGAAGAUACGAACCCUGUCAAGAAUUGAAGCGACCCUAAUCAAUUUAAUCCAUAAGAUCGAAUCUAAGCCAGUAAUUGAAUGGAAUUGCAACCUAACGCUUAAUAAAAGCACGAACCUUGGUAUUUAAGGACGCCACAAUCAGCUAUGGAUGGUCUGAUUGAUAAGUUAAGAGUUUGAACGCUACGGAAAUCUAAUAAGUUCAAAGAGUUUGUAUAAGAAUCAAAGAGAAUUAACUCUCUCACCAAUUACAUCAAAACUUAUCUCUAUUUAUUGGAUACGAGAACAUUUUAUAGGGUUAGUUACAAGAAUUUUUGGAAAUAAAACCUAAACUAAAAUCAAAUCGGAAUCUGAAUCUAAACAAAUAGGAAAGAAUAUAAAUCAAAUAAAAUCCUAAUCUAAGCGAAUAGGAAAGAAUCUAAAUCAAAUCAUAAUCCUAAUUGGCAUAAAUGCCUUACAUAAAUUAAAAUGGAAACUAGGCGAUUAAAAUAAAAAUAACUUAUUUGUUUCUGUAAUAGCCUCCUCAAGAAACGGGAAAGUAUCCGAAAAAAGAAAAUAAUAUAGUUUCUUGCCAUAAUGUGCAAGCCAACUUCCUAUUUCAUGGAAGUGAUUAUUUGGAAAUUUUAAGAACCUAAAUCAUGCAUUUAUCAUGAACGAUUCCUUAAACGGGUCUCCACGAAUUUGAUUGAGCCCAAGUUGCUUGAAUCAAUCCAUUAAGCGCUUCUUUGAAUUUCUUUGCUCGAGCUCUUGUAACGGAUCCAAUAGGAACUUGAAUAGGAUCUGAAGAUGGCUCAUCCCACGUGCUUGUAAUAAUUUUAUCCUCAAUCUCAUCAUUACCCUCCUCUUGAAGAAGAUUUAUCCUCAAAUCAUCACAUGCAUAAAAAAGACUCAAAUAAAAAACAUUAAAAGUAGCACUUACGUUGUACUCACCAGGCAAAUCCAGCUUGUAUGCAUUGUCAUUGAUUCAUUCCAAAACUUCGAAUGGACCACUCACUCGAGGUAAUAACUUAGAUUUCCUUCGUUCCGGAAAUCGUUCCUUGCGCAUGUGCAACCACACCCAAUCGUCGGGUUCAAAGACUAGCUUAUGUCGCCCUUUGUUGGCUUGUUUAGCAUAUUGCUCAAUUCUCCACUCAAUGUUGAACUUCGCCCUCUCGUGUAUCUGUUUAACAAUUUCAACCUUUUCCUUACCAUUUUUCUUGUAACGAAUGACAUAUGGAAACGUCUCUAUAAAUUCUACCCAUCAAGCAUGCCUCUUGUUUAGCUUGUGUUGGCCUUUAAAGUGUUUCAAGGACUCAUGAUCUGUGUGAAUCACGAACUCCUUCGGUCAUAGUUAGUGCUACCAUGUUUCUAACGCUCGAACCAAUGCAUACAACUUCUUAUCAUAAGUAGGGUAGUUUAAAGCUGCCGCACUCAAUUUCUCACUAAAAUAAGCAAUUGGUCAUCCCUCUUGUAUUAAGACUGCGCCAAUACCAAUAUCUGAAGCAUUGCAUUCAAUUUCAAACGUUUUAUUAAAGUUAGGCAAAAACAAUAAGAGAGCAUUGGUUAGCUUUUGCUUGAUCAUUUGAAAUGCCUUCUAUUGCGCUUCUCCCCACUUAAAUCUAAUAUCUUUUUUUAUUACUUCAGUAAGCGGUGCGGCUAAUGUGCUAAAGUUUUUUCCCAAAUCAUCAAUAGAAACUAGCAAGCCCAUAAAAGCUUCUCAUAUUACUUACACUUGUAGGACUUGGCCACUCUUGGAAUGCACGUACCUUUUUCUCAUCAACCUGUAUACCCUAUGCACACACAAAAAAUCCUAAAAACACAAGUUUAUCGGUGUAAAAAGUACACUUCCUCAGAUUAGCAAAUAACUUUUAUUUUCUAAGCACAUCUAAAACAGAUUUUAAAAGUACUAAAUGAUCGUCUACGUUUUUACUAUAAAUGAGGAUAUCAUCAAAAUAAACAAUAACAAACUUGCCAAUAAAAGCUCACAAAACAUUAUUCAUAAGUCUUAUAAAAGUGCUCGGGGCAUUAGUUAGACAAAAAGGCAUGACUAACCAUUCAUACAAACCAUAUUUGUUUGAAAGGUAGUUUUCCAUUCAUCUCCUUUUUUUUUUUCAUUCUAAUAUGAUGAUAUCCACUUUUCAAAUCAAUUUUAGAAAAUACACAAGACUCAUGUAAUUCAUCAAGCAUAUCAUUUAGCCUAGGAAUAGGAUGUUGAUACUUUAUGAUUAUAUUGUUGAUGGCUCGACAGUCAACACAUCCUCCACGUCCCAUCCUUCUCAGGAACUAAUAAAAUUGGAACUGAACAUGAACUCAUACUUUCUCUCACGUACCUUUUUUUCAUCAAUUCAUUAACCUGCCUUUGAAGUUCCUUGGUCUCCUUCGGGUUGGUCCUAUAGGCUAGUCUAUUUGGAAUGGUUGCACCGGCACAAAAUUAAUUUGAUGCUUAAUCCGUCGGAUUGGAGGUAAGCCAUGUGGUGCUUUCUCAGUAAAGACAUCCUCAUGUUCCUACAAAAGAGAAGUAAUUGAAAUAGGCAAAGUAGGGUCAAAUUCGUUAGUGUUUAAAAAUGCCUCUUUGUACAAAAGUAUAAUCAUCAGCUGAUGUGAAAACGAUGCUUUUUUUUUUUAUCUCUCACUCUCGCAUAGAAAUUCUUUUGUUUUCCUUAUGAUUUUCUCUCAAUGGACGUAUUUGUCUUUGGUUUUUCUCUCACAUUUUCCUCAGUCUCUUUUUGAAUUUCACUCUCUUUUUCUCUCUUUUUCUUUUACUCACUCUCUCUCUGUAAGCUCACUUGGUCUCCAUAAACCUGCUUUGGUGUUAAUGGAACAAGAGUAAUGUUGUGUUGAUUAAAUACAAAUGAAUAUUUGCUGGUGAAGCCAUCAUGCUUCACACGUCUGUCGAAUUUUCAAGGUCCUCCAAGUAACAAGUGUCUAGCCUACAUUAAUACUACAUCAUAUAACACAUUAUCUUUAUACUUACCAAUUUGAAAAAUCACUAGUACCUACUUGUUCACUUUCACCUCACCAUUGUCAUUUAACCACUGUAGUUUGUAUGACUGUGGGUGUUUAAGUGUUGGAAGCCCUAGCUUCUCUACCAUGAUAAUACUAGUAAUAUUAGUACAACUUCCUCCAUCAAUAAUCAUACCACAUACUUUGUCUUAAAUAUAGCACCUAGUAUGGAAAAUGUUUUCCCGUUGCACUGCUUCGUCUUCAUUUACACACUCAAAGCUCUCCUAGCUACUAAAGUCAAUUCCCCAGGGGCUAUAAACUCUUCAUCUUCAAUGUCCUCUAAUGGUGGCAUCUUAUUUUCUUCUGUUUCAUCUUCAGUUACAAUCUCACUAUUGUCCCGCAAUACCAUAACUCUUUUAUUCACACAUUCGCUUGCGAUAUGCCCACUGCCUUGACAUUUAAAACACUUAAUGUCAGGAUUCUUAAUAAUAGGAGUCACGGUGUUACCUUUUGAAUUGUGCUUGGGGGGCUCGGAGGUUGGCCUAGGUAAAGUAGAUGCUUGUGGCCUCUCGUCUCAUUUCACAUAGCUCGGCUUCCAAGGAGUGGAACUCGAGCUUAAGAUUGCACGAGUGUUACCCCUUUUUUUGAGUUGCUGCUCAGUCUUAAUGGCUUUGUGGACUAUCUCCUCAAUCUCCACAUAAUGUUGCAACUCAACUUUAUAGGCAAUCUCUUGAUUAAGACCAUUCAAGAAUCAUGACAUAGUAGCUUUUCUAUCUUCCUCCACAUUUGCUCUAACCAUGGCAAUCUCCAUUUCUUUAUAAUAAUCCUCCACGCUUCAACAAACCUAUGUAAGAUUUUGUAACUUUUGGUACAAGUCUCGAUAAUAAUGGUUAGGUACAAAAAGUCUUCUCAUUAAUGAUUUCAUUUCAUCUCAUGUCUCAACUAGACAUUCCCUAUUUCGCCUCCUACUUAUAACAAGUUGAUCCCACAAAGUAAUAGUAUAGUCAGAAAACUCAAUCACAGCCAAUUUUGCCUUUUUUGCCUCUGAAUAAUCGUGACAGUCAAAUAUGAACUUCAUUUCCUUCUCUCAUUCAAGGUAUGCUUCCAGGUUAGAUUUUCCUUAAAAAGAUGUAAUCUUUAUCUUUAUGUCACUUAAUCCAUCAUCUCUAUUCCUAACUCUCUUACCUUGUCCAUCUCUCCUAUAACUACCCACUAAGUCCUCCCUUUCAUCGUACUCAUCUCCUAUAAUAGUCAUCAAUCUCUCCUCUAACUGAAGCUCUUUCUCUUCUACAUACUUGGGGAACGGGUUGUGACUGCCCUGCACGUGUGUUCUCCUCUUGAUCUAAGCGCUCAUGUAUGAGCUCUAAUUCAGCCCUCAUCAUCCGUCUUAUCUCUCCCAUCAAUGUUUGAAUUUAUAAAUUCUAGGUAGUUGCAAACUGAUCCUCUUCAUUUGUGUUUCGUUCUAGGUUGUAAGACAUGGCUAACAUCUAUAAAAGAAAGUUAGAAAUAAUGUCGAAAGGGUCUCACCUCACUCCUUUACGUAUUUCACUAAAAAAAAUGGCUCACUCAAUUCCACUAGUGUUUCACUCAAAUUAAUUGGCUUUUACCCUCUAAUAUGCUCACACUCUCUUGCCUCUUUCCGUUCGUAGUAAUUCUUACUCGAUUCUUAUCAAACUAAUCAAACCAAUAUCAGGAUUUCAGCAGUAAUUCACAAAGAUUACACUAAGGAGACUCAAAAAUUUUGAGUAUGAUGUACUAGAUUCGUCAUAUUUGGUCACUUUUUUCGUCACCGACAGUGUUAAUAACAUCGACAUUCAAUUAUUCUUUUUUUAGAGAAAAUAAAAGUUAAUUUUUUAUUGGCAAUAUUUUUUAAAAUUUUCUAAAAUUAAAAUAUUUUUCUAUAAUUUUGUUCUGAGGGUAUAUUUGAGAAUAAAUGUUUUGUUUAGGGCACUUUUUAUUUAUUCAUUUUUAAUCUAAAAACCUGAUAAAUUGAUUGGAUAUUGGAUAUCUAUUUAAUAUUCAUAUCCAUCCAAAUAUUUUAAAAAAUAAUUGUAUCGAUAUCCAAAAGAUUUUGAAUGUAUAUUAUCUAAUCCAAUUGGACUAGAUAUAUAGAUAUUCAACUUGGAUGGACCAAUUUGCCAUCUCUACCCAUGUUGUUCUACACUUGUCAACAUCAUUUGUGUAUUAACGGGUUAUCUGCAUAUUGAUUUACAUGACAUUGAAUCACCUUCUAAUUAAGCAAGAUUCAUGUCACUUUGAGGUUCAAUUCUUGAAGACUUAAAUGCACAUUGCUCAUUUAGUUUAGGAUCAUCAACAUUACAUGGAAUCUCACUUGAUGAUUGACUGCCAUCGUUUCUCCUAAAAGUUGAUUGUAUCCAAUGAAAAAAAUAAAAAUAAAAGUUGAUAGUAUGAGGUAUAAAUAAUUAAAUAAUAAUUUCAUUAAGAGUAAUUAAAAAUAUAAUAUUUUACAGUUUUUCAUAACAUAAGUAGGGAAUAAAAUUAGCAACUAUGAAGUUUGGAAACCGUGAACGCGAUCGUAAACAGAAUAGGUACCAAUUUGUAAUAUUGAGCGAAGAAUUUAGAUAAGAAUUGAAUUUAAAAAAAAUUGAAAUAUAAAAUCACUCUUAAACCAACAGUCAGGGGAAAUGGGGAAAAUAUUGUAUAACUGAUCAAAAUAAACCACCAAAUACUUUAGUGCUAAGUCAUAGCUAAAUUUCUUGCCUUCACAAUUUUCUUAGAGAGAGAUUUCAAAAGCAAAAUGGAGUGGGGAAAAAGAAAUUAGGGAAAAUAAUAGUGGUUGUUUUAAAAUAAUAUGUAGUUUUAUAAAGAUUCUAAUUGCAAUAUUGUGGAAUUAGCGUGAUAAUUUUAUGAAGGCAUAUUUGUUAAUAAAAAUUAAAAUUUUUGCCAAAAUUUAAAUGGCCUAGGGACCAUUUUUGCCCGUAUAGAACUUCGUCCUUGCCUUUAAUAGUAAAUAUUUUAAUGAGACUCUUGUACAAUGAUGUGAUAUAAUAUGAUUGGUUGAAUAAAAAUAUAAAAUAAUAUAAAUUUAUAUUAUCAAAGACAUAAAGUUUUCAUUUAAUAAAUCUUAUUAGUCCUCUCUCCUUUGUUUGUCGAAACGAUAGGAAUUCCUUUAAAUUAAGAAGUAAUAGAUUUAGAUAUUUUAUCAAAAUUGUUAACUCCGUCUCUAAAUAUUUUACAUCAAAAUUCAUUUUGUUGAUUGGUAUGAAGUUCUAAAUAAAUCAAUUCUUUUUGUCAGUAUCAAUUUACAUUUUAUAUAAAAAUUUGUAACUAUAUCUAUAGUCUUAUUAUUUUUAAUAAGGGACAUUUAAACACAAGUGGACUAGUGGAAUAAGAAUUUGUUCAAAGCUAUAAUUAAAAAAGAUUUCUAUAUGAUACUGUAUGAGUUUUUACAAUAUUGAUAAUGGGUUGUUGAGGACUCUUGGCCAUGUUUGGUUGACAGAAGAGGAUGGGAGAAAUGACGUGAAUUUAAAAUCCUCAUUGAUUUAUUUUGUUUGGUUAGAAAAAGAUGACCGGAAAAUAAUUUCCACAUAAAUUCAAUAUUUAUUAUAUUAACGAAUUCAUAUUCUUCUUUGAGAACGUAGGAUUUCUGAUUCCAAGACUUUAAAAUAUGCAGAUUGUCAUUUAUAGCCUUAUAACAUUUCAAAAGUUUCAUUUUACCGUUACUUAAAAUUUAAAAGAUGAAACCUUAACAUUUUCUAUCUCACGAUUUCUCUGUAACCAACAGUCGCUUCUUUAAUUUUCAUGGCCGCUACCAUUGAUUCAUCUUAAAAUAAGUCGUUGCCAUCGAUUUAUCUUAUAAAAUAAGCUGCCACCGUUGAUUCAUCAUAAUUUGUAGGUAAAUUUUAUGAUUUUAUAGAUUUAUUUUCUUUUUGACAUGUUGAUUUUUUUUUUUAUUUGUUGAGUUUAUGAUUCUGUUUGAUUGCUAUGAAACUUAUGGCUGAGUUAUUUUUAUUUCCUUUAUUGAUUAGAUUGUUGUGAAGCGAACCAUCACACGCCCAUCUCCACUCACUUGCAUCUAAAGUUGCCUAUGGCUUUUUUAGCCUUCAUAUUGCACCGCCUUUAGGUUUGCUUCUCGUUUUUAUUUUCAUUAAUUUUUUGCAAUUGCUACUUUAAUUUGAUACUGCUUUGCUUGGAUUAUUAAAAAUCGCGUGUUAGAUCAAAUAAAUAAUGAAAAAAAGGAUCGUAUGUUGUUUCAGCACAAAUUAGGUGUAAUUAUUGAUCAAUUAUCUUCAGGUAGCUCAUGUUUGUAUGGAGUUUCUAGAUUUUGAAGUUUGCACAUUCUCGUUGGAAUCAAAUCUCACUCACACUUGGAUUGAAGAGGCUAAGGGGAUUUGGGAUAUAGAAAAUUAUGUGUUAAAUUUGUUGCUGAAUUUAUUGGGUUGAAUGGUGCUAUUGAAUUAUUAUGUAUAUAAUUGUGCAUAUCAAAUUUGUUGGGUAUUUCUUGAACUCUUUGUGUGGUGAGGGCUUUUUAGUGUCAUAUAUUGCAUGUUGAUGAUGUGUGGUCAUCAUUAGUUUUACUUUUAACCAUCAAUUCAUGGUUGUUUUUUUAAUUAGAACUUGACAUUCCUGCUCACUCUAUGCUUGUUCACAAAAUUCUUAAAUUUAUGAGUGUAAUUUUUCAAGUACCAUAACACUUUUGUUUUACGUGUUUUAGGUAGAACUAUCCAAAAGAAGGAAAAAUGUUUGACAUAACAGACCUGAACACUAUUAAGGUUUUAUUCUAGUGAUUUUUUUAUGCUUUUAACCUUAUUAAUCUUGUUGAGUACAUAUAUAUGACUUAUUUUUAAUUAAGACAUGAAUAAUUCUUUGUGCAGUCGUGGAUGACUUAGGCUUAUCUGAAGCAGAUAAUAUGAAAAAGAAGAAAUUGAUUGCACUUUUUAUUCAUUAGUCAUAUACCAUGCAAGCCUUUCUUUAGUUCUUGAAGUUUAUAAAGAAACAAAAUAAGAGAAAAUCUUUAAGACAUGAAACAUACGUGCUUGAUUUUUUUGCAAAUAGGAAAAUUGUUCACCGAUUAACUUAAAAGAGUGAUGGAACUUAUUGGCAGAGCCAAGAAGAUCCCUCCUGAAGUUUUCUCUGAAAACAAAAGGAUGGGAGUGAUAAACAGAGUUGUCAUGACUCUAACUUUAGUCUCUCGUCAUGAGUGUGGCUCUUUGAACUGUCUUUGACUUUCGUUAGUUCUAAUGCUCUCAGAGGAAGUAUUCUAUAUUCAUUUCAGAAGCAGGAGUUGCAGGAUUUAGGUAGAAAGUUUUAAGGAGUUUGGUGUCCAACCACUGGCUGCAGUUCUUAAUUACUGGCGGCUAAAGCCAAUGGAUACAGAUGAGUUAAUUAAGCGGUGCAGAGCCAUCCAGCUAAGUGAAGAAGAAGAAGGGAAAGUCACGUUUAAGAGUAGAAUGAAAACAAAAGGGGAAAAGAUAUUAACAGGCUGUUUGGUCGGAAAAAUAUUCUUAUCAAGAGAAGUCAAAGUAGAAAGAUUGAGAGUAGCAAUGCAACAGGUGUGGAGAACAGGCAGGGAAGUCAAAAUUGAAGGAUUGGGUGAUAAUAUUUUCAUGUUCAAGUUUGGAUCAAAUGAAGAUAAAAGAAGAAUUCUAGCGGGUGGACCAUGGCAUUUUGACAGAGCACUUAUCGUGCUUAUCGAACCUUCUGGAAUUGGAGACAUUAAGAAACUUAACUUCAAUCAUGUAUCCUUUUGGGUACAACUACAUGAUGUUCCAAUUAUGUGUAUGGAAAAAGAGACAGCGGCAGAAUUGGGUGGAGCAAUCGGAAGAGUAGAGGAAGUUGAAACGGAUGCAGCGGGGGAAUGUAUAGGAAAAUUCUUACGAAUGAGGAUUUCGGUGGACAUCACAAAGCCAUUAAAGAAGAUUGUUGUGCUGGAACAGAUGGCGAAAUGGGAUGAGAAAAACGAAGAAGAAAUCAAGAAGGAGGAGAUCCUAAUGCUGGUGCAGUAUGAAAGGCUCCCUGAUUUUUGCUUCUGCUGUGGGCGUAUUGGUCAUCAAUAUAGAGAGUGUAGUCAUUAUAAGUCUCAGUCCAAAGAUCAGCUAGCUUAUGGCCCAUGGCUAAAAGCAAUAACCAUGGCAGAACGACUAAGACAAAGUAGAGGACAGGAUCGAUGGAGCACAGAACCCAGUCAAUUCAAUGCCAAAAAUUCAGCUGGAGUAAACAAUGAACUACUACAUAUCAAAGAAAGGAGACAAAGUGAGGUAGAAGAGAAAGGGGCAGAAGUGGAAGGGAAUCAGAUCCAGAACCAAACGGAUUCGGGUAUGGAUAAUCCUUCUUUAGAGAAAAAAAUAGGUAAAAGAGGUGAUGCUGAUCAUUUAAUGCAAGCAGCAGCAAAUCUCAGAGAGCUAGAGAAUAGCUAUUUAGGGUCAGAGCAGCAGGCUGACAAAAUUGCAGGUCAUGGGGAAGGGACAAAUUGGGCGGGAAAGAAAUUACAACAAGACAUGAAUUUAGUGGAAGAAGAAGCGGGAAAUGGUGAGCGGGAAGUGGAAGGAAACAUCUGGAAAUUAGAAAGUUUAGAGCAAAAACAAAAGGCAAGUGGGCUUUCCUUUCAAAUAGAGUCAGAGGCUGAAGAUGGCAACAAUGGGCUAAAGGAUGAAAAGCUUAGGCCCAAAAGACGGAAAUGGAAGUAUCAUGCACGAAAUUAUGAAGGAAAUGGGGGAACAAAAGAUGGGCAAACAAAAGGAAAAAGGUCGGCUAGCUGGCUAAAUUUGGAAAGCCCAAACUCAAAGAAGCUCAAAGGAAGUACCCCAAAAAAAUAUGGCUGUCAUCAACGAGCUCAACUAAACAUUACAGAAGCUACAACGUUGAGGCUAGAGGAUGAAGAGAUGGAAGCAGUUGCAUGUAGUGUCAAUGAAUUAUCGGCGGUGGCUGAAAACCAGCCUCGCCGACAGCCAUGAGGAUCUUAAGCUGGAACGUUCGGGGAUUGGGGAGUGACCGAACGUUCCGAGAAGCUCAGGAGGUAGUCCAUGAGCACAAGCCCCAAAUUGUGUUUUUUUGCAAGACGAAAAUGACAAGGGAGCAAAUGAGAAAAAGGAGUUACGAGCUGUAUUUUGCAAACUGUUUUGCAGUUAGUAGAGAAGGAAUGGGGGGAGGUUUGGCAAUGCUAUGGAAUUCGGAGAUAACAGUGGAAAUAAAAUCUUUCAGUUGCCAUCAUAUUGAUGCUGUGGUCUAUAGUGAGAAAGGGAGCUAUUGGAGAUGUACGGGUAUAUAUGGUCAUCCAGAAGCAGCUCAAAAACAACAUACUUGGAAAUUGUUGAGAAGGUUAGCAACGUUAUCUUCUUUACCCUGGCUCUAUUUUGGGGACUUUAAUGAAGUCUUAAAUUUAAAUGAAAAGCUAGGAGGAAAUGAGAAACAAGUUAACUCGGUGGCUGACUUUAGAGAAGCGGUUAGGGAAUGUGAUUUCAUAGAUAUGGGAUUUAUGGGGUAUCCCUUUACUUGGUCAAAUAGGAGGUUUGGUGUUGGGUUGAUUGAAGAGAGAUUAGAUAGAUUUCUUUGCAGUAGGAGUUUAGGCAAUUAUUUCCAGGAGAAAGCAGCAAUGAAUCUAGUGACUUGGAGCUCCGAUCACAACCCAAUUCUUAUGGAAGUGCUGGAAAAAGGAAGUGGUUUGAGGUAUUCCAGGAGAACUUUCCGCAGAGUUCAUUAUGAAGAUAUGUGGAGCCCAUAUGAGAAAUGUGGAGAAAUAGUUAAGCGGGAGUGGAAGGAAUCAAGCUGUUGGGACAGGGGAAAUCCUGUUGAUCUGUUUCAAAGGAAGUCAAAGGAGUCACUAGCUGAACUCAAGUUCAAGGGCAGACAAAAAAGGCUGAAGCAGCUGAAGGAGAGGUUAAAGGAAAUCAGACAGAACUAUGGCCAUUAUGACAACGGAUUAGAAGUCAAAAACAUAGAAAGACAGAUUGAUAAUAUUCUAAUUGACGAAGAAAUCUUCUGGAAGCAGAGAUCGAGGGCGGAUUGGCUGAGAGAAGGGGAUAGAAAUACUAAAUUUUUUCAUGCUAAGGCAUCAGCGAGAAAAAGAAAAAAUAAGAUAAUGGGGCUGGAGGAUGAAGAUGGAGUAUGGAAAGAGGAAGCAGAAGAAGUGGAAAGAUUGUUGUGUGAUUAUUUUGCAAACAUUUUCAGCACAACGAAUCCAUCCCAAACUCAGCUGGAGACAGCCGUAGCAGAACUACCAAAGCGAGUAACGGAAGAAAUGAAUUGCUUUCUGGAUCAACAAUUCACUGCCGAGGAGGUAGCAGAGGCUCUUGUUCAGAUGUGCCCCACCAAAGCUCCAAGCCCGGAUGGUCUCCUAGCAGCCUUUUAUCAGAAGCACUGGAGCUCAGUCAAGGAAGGUGUAACCACUACCUGCCUGCACAUCCUAAAUGAGGGAGGUAGUAUCGCUCAUUUAAAUCAUACUUAUAUUGCCUUGAUUCCAAAAUUACAAAAUCCUAGGAAAGUGACUAAUUUCCGGCCAAUUAGCCUUUGUAAUGUUAUUUAUAGGAUUGUGGCAAAAACCUUGGCAAAUAGGUUGAAGCAAAUUUUGGAUACUAUUAUCUCUCCAACUCAAAGCGCUUUUAUCCCGAAUAGGCUAAUUAUGGAUAAUGUAAUAAUCGGGUAUGAAUGCCUAAACAAAAUUAGGCAAAGUAGGGGUAAAAAAUAUGGGUUGGUAGCGCUCAAACUAGACAUUAGCAAAGCCUAUGAUAGAAUUGAAUGGAAUUUCUUGAAAACCACAAUGCAACAGCUAGGCUUCUCAGCAAAUUGGGUGAACUUGAUCAUGAACUGUAUAUCCACAGCAAGCUUUUCAGUUUUGAUUAAUGGGGAGGCGAAAGGUUUAAUCUAUCCUCAAAGAGGUUUAAGACAAGGCUGCCCAUUAUCACCAUAUUUAUUCAUCAUUUGUGCAGAGGUGUUCUCGAAUUUACUCAUGCAGGCUGAAAAACAAAAGCUAAUCCAGGGGCUGAAGUUCAGUAGAAAUUUGUCUAUUUCUCAUCUCCUUUUUGCAGACGACAGCUUGGUUUUCUCAAGGGCUUCUAGUGUAGACUGCAGGCACCUAAAGAAGAUCUUUGAAGUGUAUGCUGCUGCUUCGGGACAGAUAUUCAACUUUGAGAAGUCUUCAAUAUUUUUCAGCACCAACACAAAGUAGAGCCAAAUGGAUGAAAUAGGAAGCAUUUUUAACUUGAAUGUUGUUUCGAGACAUGAGAGGUACCUGGGAUUGCCAUCUAUGGUGGGAAGAAAGAAGACCAAUUUUUUUAACUAUGUCAAGCUAAGGGUGCUUAAUAAGUUAACCAGCUGGGAAAGCAAAUUUUUUUCUUGUGGGGGAAAAGAAGUGCUCAUAAAAGUUGUGGCUCAAGCGGUGCCGGCAUAUGUUAUGAGUGUAUUUAAAAUACCUCAAAGCAUUUGCGAUGACAUUCAAAAAGCUGUAGCAAAAUUCUGGUGGAGUUCUGCAGGAAAUCACAGAGGCAUUCACUGGGCAAAAUGGGGGAGACUAUGCCAAGCCAAGAUAAGAGGAGGGCUGGGAUUUCGAGAUUUCUCAUGCUUUAAUCAAGCCUUAAUUGCAAAGCAAGGCUGGAGACUUAUUCAAAAUCCGGAGGCUUUGAUGGCUCGGGUGUUGAAGGCUAAGUACUUUAAGAAUUCCAGUUUUAUGGAUGCAAAGUUAGGUGCAAAUCCAUCGUUUGUGUGGAGAAGCAUUCUUUGGGGCAGGCAGAUUAUCCACAAAGGCUCAAGAUGGAGGAUCGGUAACGGAGAGCAAGUGUAUGUUUAUAAGAGUAACUGGAUUCCAAGGCCUGAAAAUCUAAAGCCUCUGUCCAUCCAGACAUUACACCCAAAUUCUGUGGUAGCUAAUCUGAUCAGCAACCAAACCUGGAAGGCAGAUGUGAUUUCUCAUAAUUUUUCAGAAGAGGAUGCAGCAAGAAUAAAAAGAAUCAUUCUUCCAAGUUCUCCUCAAUUGGAUCAAUUAAUAUGGCAUUUUGACAAGCAUGGUAAUUAUUCUGUUAAGAGUGGGUAUCAGUUAUCUCUAAGAUUGAAAUCCCCAGAUUUGGCCAGCAGCUCAGAUUUAUCAAAAACUCAUUGGAAGAUUAUUUGGUCAAUGGAGAUCCCGGAAAAGAUUAAAAUUUUCAUGUGGAGAGCAGCUCAGAAUAUGCUUCCAACAGCCUAUAACCUCUGGAAGAGAAAGGCUAUAAAGGAACCAAUGUGUGGCAGAUGUAGUAAGGAGAAUGAAGAUGGUUUUCAUGCCUUAAUUGGAUGCAAGUAUGCCAACAAGGUCUGGAAAUUGACUGAUUUUCACCAGAACAUGAAGAUGCUGGCUCAACAGGACUUAUUAAGCACCCUCUAGGAGAUGGGGAAAAUUACGAGUAGGAAGGACAUGGAACUGAUUAUUGCUACAUGCUGGUCAAUUUGGUCUUCUAGAAAUCUAUUCAUCUUCAAAGGGAAAGAAGAAGAUGCUCAAAUAUCAGUGGGAAGGGCUGCAGCAAUUGUAGAGUCUUACAGAAGGAUUAAAAUCCUAGCUACCCAAACUGUUUCACAGAACCAGAGCAACAACCAACAAACAUGGCUACCUCCUCCAAAUGGGUGGUAUAAGGUGAAUGUGGAUGCUGCCAUCAGACCCUCAAAUCAGACAGCAGGCCUCGGAGUGGUGAUCAGAGACUCGAGAGCAAAGGUUGUAGCAGCAGCUGUUCAGAAUACCAUUUACAAAGGGGAUGUGGACUGCAUGGAAGCAGAGGCAAUCAUUUUUGGCAUCCAGGUGGCUCAAAAUACAAAUUUUCUGCCAUUGAUCAUAGAGUCAGAUUCAAAAGAGGUGGUUGAUCUUGCUUGUAACAGAAAAGGAAGCAGAACGGAAAUCUUCUGGAAGAUAGCCACAAUUCAAGAUAGCUUAAAGAGGCUAAGUAGGGUGCAAAUCCAGCAUGUUUCAAGAUCCUUCAAUCGUAUUGCUCCUGGGCUAGCAAAGAAAGCUUUAGAGUAUGAAAGUUCUGUUGUUUGGCUGGGAAAUUACCCAGAUGAGAUUUUGUUGUUACUCACUAUUGAUUCUUAAUGAAAGCUUUACUUUCUCUUUCAAAAAAAAAAAAAAAAACUUAUAAGAGUGAUGCAACUUGCAUAGCCCAACUUAGAAUGGAUAGGCAUGCUUUUACAUGUUUAUGCACAAGGCUUGAAAUAGUUGGGGGUUAAAACCAUUAAGACAUUUAUUAAUAGAUGAAAGAGUAGUUAUGUUCUUACAUCUAGUAGUAUAUCAUGUAAAAAAUAGAGCGAUUAAAUUUAAAUUUAUGAGGUCGGGACAUUCAAUUAGCAAGUACUUUCAUGAUGUUUUAUAUUCUAUCUUACGGCUUCAUAGAGAAUUAUUGAAACAACCUGAUCAAGUUUUUGAAAACUCUACUGAUGAGAUAUGGAAAUGGUUUAAAGUACUUUUCUUAGCCAUAUUAUUAUGAUUAUAUAUUAGUAUUAUAUCGAUAAUAUGGUGGUCACUAAUGAUUAUUAUGUUUUACUAUACUGAUGAUAGAAUUGCUUAGAAGCACUAGAUGGUACAUAAAUUAGGGUGAGGGUGCCUGCGUAUGCUCCCAAGACAUGCAAUUCAUUUAUGUUUUAACUGGUUGGGAAGGGCAUCACCUGAUACUAGAGUUCUUUGUGAUGUAUAUGUAAAACAAACGGUUUGGAUGUCCCAAAUGGUAAAUGUCGAGGAUUUUCUUGCACCUUAUCAUGGACAACGGUAACACCUUAAUGACUGGAGGAAAAACUAUCAACUAACAAACGCACAAGUGUUUUUUAACAUGAAGCAUUCAGCUGCUAGGAAUGUCAUUGAGAGAUGUUUUGGUGUACUUAAAAAUCAAUGGGCAAUUAAAAAGUCCUUCAUUAUAUCUUAUCAAGACUCAUAAUAGGAUUAUCAUGGCAUGUUGUUUAUUGUACAAUUUUAUUAGGAAGGAGAUGCCAUGUGGAAUCACUCGAAGGUACCAUAAUAACUAGUAUAGAAAUCUCACUACAUGGAGGACAAAUUUAGCAUUAGAGAUGUAUAAUCAAUGGAGAGCAAGUAGGCAAAACACAUGAAGACUCCUUCAAAAAAAUUUGUUAUGUUUUUUGUUAUUCCAUUUUCUGGAUUGUAAAAUGUAAUAUUCAUGUUUCUAACUUUGGGAAUUUAUUUAAUCCAUUCCAUUGUUAACUUUAUUUCUUUGACAUUUAUUGUUUUUGUAGCUAUAUGUAACUUGCUUACUGGGGCUUGUUCCUUUCAACUUGAUGAUAAAAAUCUUCUAGAUUUAUAGUUAAAGCUGAGCUAAAAUAACUUUAUAUAAUGUAUGUAUUGCCUAGUUGAAAGGGUGAUUAUACUGAAUAACUAAGACUCAAAUAGUCUUAUUUAACCACCAGUCUUUCUCCAAAUCAUGCAUUAUGUUGUAGUAGAAUUUUUAUGUUGUUAUCUCUUUUGGUGUAUAGUUAUUUUAUUGGUCUAGUUCUUGUGAAGCAAGAUUUGGCUUAGGCUAAUGGUUUUAAAUUAUCUUCUUGUGUGCAUGCUUUGCUUCCUACUCUCCAGAUUUCUAACUAAUGUCUAAUUUUUGUUCAAUAACUAAAUAAAAUGACAAGCACCACAAGCUCCAAAAUCAAGAAAAAGGAGAAGAACUUAAGAUUCAAAAGAUAAUGGAGAGUUAUUUAAAGAGCUAACAACUCUUUUUGUCACUGAAAUGAAAGAAACUUCUAGUUACUUGAGUUGAGCUUUAGGGCAAGAAAUUAAUAACAAACAAGUAGGAUUGAGUGAUGAUUUGAAGAAGAUUGGUAGUCUUACAAUGGUAGAAUGCCUUAAAGCCACUUUAAUUGCUCAUGAUAAUGCCGCACUCAAUGUUUUAUAUAAUCUUUGUGAUGAGCAGCAAGAAGCAUGGGUUAAACUUUUAGGCUUAUUGUUUUGAUAACUUAUGUUAGGUCUAUUGUUGUUUUGAUGCACUCAUUUUAAAGCUUACUAUUGUUUAUGGAAUUUAUAACUCAUUUUAGACUUAUUAUUUUGAUAUACUUAUUUUCUGCAUAUUGUUAUUUUUCAUUUUUUUUAUUGUCAAAAUUUAAAGGUAUUUAAAAUUUAUAAGGUUAUGCAUAUAUAUAGGAGGCUGUUUUAAUCCGGGAGUCCCGGAUUGGAACAGCAUCCGGGAAGAAAUUUGUGGCCGUUGGAUUCAAGUCCAAUGGCCCCAAAUUCCUUCUUUUAAUUUUUUUUGGUUUGGCUGCACAUGGUGGGCUCCACCAUGUGCAGCCACAGGUGGCCUUUGGAUUUGAAUCCAAAGGCCACCAGCCUCCCUCCUGGACAUCGUUCCAAUCCAGGAUCCCGGAUUGGAACAGCACUCUCUAUAUAUAUAUAUAUAUAUCGUAAAUUGUUUUAGGACAUUCUGACAUUAAAAAAAAAUGGUUUAUAAGUUCAGAAAAGCUUAGUAUUGACAUUAAAUUAUAUUUAAUUACUAAUAUCAAUAGUUUAGUAUUUAAAGUAAAGGGAAAAAUUGUCCAAAAAUAAAAAUUGUAAUUCCUUUCCCCAUGAAACUUUAUGUUGAAUUAAACAAUAAAAUUUAAUUUCCCUAUUCCCCUCCUCCCUUUUCUUCUCCCUUCCCUUCCAUUUCUCUCCUAUCCUCUCCUCCCCUUUCUUCAAACCAAACAUCACCUUAGAUUUAAAUAGAUAAAAAUUAAUUAAUUAGAGAAUAACAGGUAAAUUUUAGGUUGCAAGUAAAUGCAGAUUUUUUUAGUUAAUUGAUAACUAAAAAGUUUUAUCAUGCUGGGAUAAAAAUCCCACAAUCAUUAAUGGGAUCAUUGGAUUUAAAUAUUAGAAUCUUCACCCUUAUUUUAAUUUUAAUGAAUAAGUAAUUAUGUACCUAAUAAUUUGCAAGUUGUGGUAUUUCUUCACACUUUAAAUUAUUUUUUAUCUAAUCAAUUCAUAAAUAUUUUUAAGUCACCAAAAAAAUAUAUAUAAAUAGUUUGAAAUUAAAAUUAUUAUGUACUAUCUAUAAUUUUACAAUUUUCCUUUUACAUAUAGUAUUAUAUAUAUAUAUAUAACAUUAUUGAAAUAAUGUAAUUUCAAUAAUACUUUAUAUAAAGAUAUUUCAUAAGUUCUUAUAAUAAUUUAUCAUAUGAAUUUAAUUAUAAAACUAGUAAUACUUAAACAAUCAUGAUCAUAGAAGGCAUUGUAAUGAAUUAUUUGAUGAUUUGAUAUAUACUUUUAGAGUUAGAUUAUUUUAACUUAAAUUUUUAACCCAAAAUGUAAACUAUUAAUUUUAUGCAAUUAAAUGGUGGAUGAUAUAAUAUCUAAAAUAUUGCCUUGACUUUUAAUAUCAACCAUUAGAUUGUGAAAGAUUAAUGGCUCAAAUUUUGUAUCAAAAUUUAAGUUCAAAUAUACUAAACCAUGUUUUUAUAAUGAAAAUAUAAAAAUAUAUAAAGAAUUUGUUUUCUUAUCAUUCUUUCCUAUGUAAAUAUUAUUGGUGGUAAUAUUUUUUGUACUAUCACCAUUAAUUAUCAUAAAAUUUUACAAUUACAAUUAACAGAUAUCAAAAAAAUAAUCUUUCGUGAUUCAUAAAUUAAAGCUAAUUAGGAAUAUAUGUAAACUUAUGUGAAAUUAACAAAGUGAUAUUUGAAAAUAAAAUGAAAAUAUGUAAGCUUGUGAAGCUUAAAUUUUAUAAGGUUUGGAUAAUUUUCUACCAUGUAACAAUAUUGAUUGUAACAUAAACCAUAAUUUCAUGGAACAGGUAUGCUAAAAUGGGUGUUAAAAAUAAUAUGUACUUUAUGAUUAAUUAUACAAUGUUCCUUAAUUGUGUAUAAACAAUGACUAAUUUAAAUGCAAUGUUAGAGUUUAUUAAAACAUGGGUAGUCAGGUAUUUUUUAAGGUUACAAACAAUCUCACCCAUGAGUUUAUUGAUACAAUUUAUAACAUUUACUUAAAUAUAUUUACUUAAUUUUGUCAUUUAUUGGUGUUACAUCAUAUAUAAAUUUUAUAAUUGCAACUUAUUUAUUUGAUUUGUUUUAGAUAACUUAUUAGAUAUUAUAUCUUAAACUUAUUAGUAAUAGAUUUUGAAAUAUUUAUGUUAAAAAAAAAUUUCCCAUGACAAAUUUAAAGGAAGGCUUAAAAGUAAUUUUCAAAUAAAAACAUGCUAUUUAAGUUAAAUUGUUUAAAAAUCUAUAAGUGUGUCAACAUUUAAUGCAUUCUUGAGUUGAUUUGGGGACUAUGAAACCCUUAAGCUUCCGAUAGUUCCACAUCAACAUUAUCUCCAAAAGUCAUAAUUUGAUUGGUCUGCUGGAUAUUCUAUGGCCAAUGGGCUAGGCCAGCAAAGGUAGGCCCAUACGUACUCAUGCUCGUGCCAUGUCGUGCCCACUAUGUAUUCCGUAUUAUGCCUAAUGUUUUUUGCUUAAGCUUCGCUCGGCACACGUGCCGUGCCCACUUGUGUCGUGACGUGCCAUGCCCACUUGUGUCGCGACGUGCCAUGCCUAAGAAAAAAAGUAUGAUAAGCUUUUUUCUUCUUUUUAAAUUUUUUUAAGAGCGCAUGCCAAGUUGUUGGUCUAUUUUUUUUCAAACUUUUGUACUUUUUUGGGUCCAUGUGCUUUUAUUCAAAUUUGAUAAAAUCACAAAUUCAAAACUCAAGUCUAUAUUCAAUAAUAAUAAACUAAUAAUAGUAAGAAAAUAUAAUAUUAAUUAUUAAGUUUGACCAUAUGGUAUUAGAAUUCAUUUUUAAUACUUAACAACAAUAAUAAUAAAUUUUCCUUAAGGGUUAACUUAAUUGUUAACUCGGACUUACAUAGAAUCAUAAAUUAUAGUUCAUAAUAAUAUUAAUACAUAUUUAUAAAUCAUAAUAUUUAUAAUUUUAUUUAUUAAAAUCAUGAUAUCAAUUAUUUAUUUAAUAAAUUAUAAACAUAAAUCAAUUAUAGUAUUUUUAACUAAGAAUUAAAUGAAUUUAGAAAAAAUACACUAAUAAAAUAUAUUAAAAGAUUCAAUUUCAAGCUAUUUGUAAACUUAUAAAAUUUUAAUUUUACUUUCAUUAAAAAAUGAAACGUGCUUAUUGCAGGUUUUUUCAUGUGUCGUGCUUUAUUUAAUUUCUAAUCGUGCCAUACUUUUAAGGCCUGGGCGCCUAAAAUUCUAAGCCCAGCCUAACCCACAUGUGUGUCAUGUUGUGCCGCGUGCCCUACCGAAACGUGCCAUACUUUUAAGGCCUACGUGCCUAAAAUUCUAAGUCCAGCCUAACUCACAUGUGUGUCAUGCUGUGCCGCGUGCCCUACCGAAACGUGCUCGUGCCGUGUCGUGUUGUACGGACACAUGUCAUACUCGUGUCGUGCCCCGUGUCGUCUAGCCCAUUGCUAAUAAUAUUUGUAUUUGUAUUGAGUACUCUCCUUAGUGAUAAGGAUGAGAGUGUGAUGUGACAUAAAGUAAAGUAUGAGUUGUAAAGUAGAUUCCUUAGUGAUAAGGAUCAAUAAUGUAAACAGUAUGUAAUAGUGGAUCCCUUGAGCCUAUAAAAGGGAGUCCUUGGUUUGAGUCUAGGCAUCAAGUCUUGGAGUGCAAUCUUGUAUUGUAAAUCUCUUAUUCCUCUUAAUGAAGUAACCUUCCAUUGUUUUCAAGAAAUACAAAUAUAAAGACAAAUAUAAAGAAGGAUGGACCAUGCCUCACCAAACAGCUUCUCAUCCAGGCUUGCCCCAUGAUGAAGAACUGUGCAAAACAGAGAUCCAAACACUUAUGGAUCUGAAGCUCAUCAGGCCCUCUAAGUCUCAUUGGGCCAGCCCAGCAUUUUAUGUCAACAAGCAUUCAGAACAGAUACGUGGGAAAAAAUGAUUGGUGAUAGACUACAGGAAGCUGAAUGAUUGUUUACAGGACAUAAGAUACCCCAUUCCACGGAGGACACACCUUUUGAAACGCAUUGCUGGAGCAAAAGUGUUCUCAAAGUUUGACAUGAAGUCAGGCUUUUGGAAAAUUGGAAUUAAAGAAGAAGACAGACACAAGACAGCAUUUGUAGUCCCCCAUGGGCAUUAUGAAUGGAACGUGAUACCUUUCGGCCUAAAGAAUGCACCGUCAGAAUUCCAAAACAGAAUGGAUGAGGUAUACAAAUGCAUCUCAGGAUUUUGCCUUAUCUACAUUGACGAUGCUCUUAUCUUCAUCAACAGUGAUGAAGAACAUGCUGAGCACCUGUCUCAAUUCAAAGCCCUAACCUACAAGCAUGGGUUAGCUCUGUCAGAACCAAAGAUGAAGAUAGGCCUUGGUGAAGUAGAUUUUUUGGGAUUACAUAUCAAACAGGGAUUCAUCAUUCCUCAGCCACAUAUUGCUGAAAAAAUAUCCCAAUUCCCAUACCAGCUGUCAAUCGAAAGCAGAUCCAGCAAUUCCUCGGGAUAAUCAACUAUGCAGCAGACCAUGUACAGAACCUGUCAAAAAUGACGAGUCAGAUAUCAAAGCACUUAAAGAAAGGUGCCCCACAAUGGUCAGAAAACGCGACAAAAGCUGUGACAGACUUAAAGCAAAAGUGUCAGUCACUCCCACCAUUAAAGAUACCUGACAAGGGACAGCUCAUCUUACAAACAGAUGCUAGUGACCAUUAUUGGGGAGCACUGUUGAUAGAAGAAUCCGAGGGAAACAGGAAAGUGUGUGGCUAUAAAUCAAGCCAGUUCAACGAUGCUCAAAGCCACUACCCUUCCUCAAAGAAAGAAGUCUUAGCAGUUGUCAAAGGGAUCAAGAAAUUCAAGUUCUUUCUCUCUCUAACUCCCUUUAUGAUUGAAACAGACUAUAAAUACCUCCAGGGAUUGCUCAGGAGAAAAGAAGGAGAAAUCCCAGAUCCACAACUUGCAAGGUGCUCUGAAUCUCUCUCGAGAUUCAAGUUCGAAGUAACACACAUCAAAGGAGAAUCCAACACUGUAGCGGAUUUCCUUUCCAGACCAAUCACCAUGAUCAAGAGAAGGAACCUCCCAAGAAAAUGGGAAGAAGGCAGCUCUAGUGCCCACGAAACUAGAGCACACUUCCUCAGAGAUCUCAAUACCUUCAUAGCAUGGCUUCCUUCGGAAGUUCAGGAUGACAUCUUUGAGAAAAUCAUUACUCACAAAAGAGGUCCUGAAGAUCAAGCUCUAACAUGGCGGGUGUGGCAACUUAUGGCUAUGCAAGAACACAGACCUGCCCACAACAAAAGAUGUCAGAGAGCUUUUGAUCCACACCCAAAUCCUGACCAGAUACACGAAACAAUCUUCAAGAUCGGUUGCACCUUCCACUAUGUAAUAGAUGAAAACUCCAAUUAGGGUCACUAUGUUAUUUGUGACAUAACCCCAUAAGCCUAUUACAUAACGUGGUACUGGCUAAACAUCUACCUGGUGGCAAUACUGUUUGAACCGAACCUCAUCCACACUAGCAGGAGAUAUGGCAAAGGAAGAUGGUUCGACCGCAUGUUUGCUCCUAUCUUCGAAGAUAUCUUGACGUUAAAGCUUAUCAACGGGUAUCACAUCACUCACUCUACUAUAGUGAUUGUGAAGCUCACAGAUAUCUGGGGAAGAUACAAACAGCCUCUUGUCCAGGUGGUCCAGCGUGACCACUCCCACGAAGAAAUAGAUUCCAUGUGGACAGGCUGCUGGAAUGCAAGAAGGGCAUUGGCAGAUGUAUAUGGAACUGUUCUUAUGUACAAUACUCAUAGUCCAGUUUCCCCACAAGUUUGUAGUACGCCAGAUCUAUACUACAGAGAAGAGAUCAGGAAUCUCAAGCUUCAUGGCGAAGAAGACGAAGCAGCAGACUUGCAGCAAAGGUAUAAUGACUACCUCACUCGGCAUGGCAGGCCAAAAGAAGUCACUUAUCUGGACACACCAGAUAUUGACAGAUGGAGGAACGAACUUGAAGAAAUGGCCCAUUGGCUAGACCUCCAAGACUGGCCCCAGCCAGAACAAAACCCACAACCAGACAAUGUCGAAGACCCCAUAUGGCCCAAUAUGGGAGAAGAUAUGGAUGACGCAUCCGAAGACCGAUGGAACCACAGGUCAGGACGAAGCACGCCAACAAGUGGCAACUCUGGACUGUAGCGGAAGCUUAGUGGACCCUACAGUGGAAGCAAUGGUGAUAAUAAUAUUUGUAUUUGUAUUUGUAUUUGUAUUGAGUACUCUCCUUAGUGAUAAGGAUGAGAGUGUGAUGUGACAUAAAGUAAAGUAUGAGUUGUAAAGUAGAUUCCUUAAUGAUAAGUAUCAAUAAUGUAAACAGUUUGUAAUAGUGGAUCCCUUGAGCCUAUAAAAGGGAAUCCUUGGUUUGAGUCUAGGCAUCGAGUCUUGGAGUGUAAUCUUGUAUUGUAAAUCUUUGAUUCCUCUUAAUGAAGUAACCUUCCAUUGUUUUCAAGAAAUACAAAUUUUUCCAUUGUUUUCAAGAAAUACAAAUUUUGGUAUCAGAGCCAUAUUUCCCAAAAGGAAACCCCUGGGUGUGAAACAAUAUUAUGCUCUGUGGUUGCCGAAAUACUUCGGAUCCUCCACAUAAGAAAGUUGUUAAACACUGAUCUACCUGUCUCAAGUUUUCCAUUCCUAAAACACUACAGAGUGAAUUCUGUAAGGUGUGGCGCCCCCUUGAGAAGGCCAAGCGUGCCAUGUUAAGGGCUUAUCACCUCAAAGAAAACCCUUUGAUUUCUUUUAGCCAUGGAAAACUAAAACAGUAACAGAUCCGGUAACCAACCACUUUCUGAUCAACCAUCCACCUCGGCCAUCAGAGUACCAACUGAUAGUUCACCCUCUAUAAAUUUCCAUUAUGAAACCCAAGAGGAUGAAAGCAAUGAGAGAGCGGUUCAGUCCUUCAGACUUGAUCUGUUAGACCCCUAUAGAUACUACCAUAUUAGCCCUACUCUUAACCACCUAAGAGCCAUAAUCCCCAUCAGACAGCCUAAACUUAAAACCAUCUAUAAAUCCUCUGAAACACUGUCCAAUCCAUCUCCUUUAGCUCAAAAGAAACAUACAUUCCCAUAAUCUCUACCAAUGAGGUUACAAGGUAUAAACUGCAUUGAUACAAAGGAUUACACCUUGGAGCAAUCCAGAUAGGGAUACAACCUUUGUUCCUAGCUGGAAAAGAUAUCACAUGCUUCAUUGCCAUUCUAGACACUAGGUGGCAAACUUUUGAAAAGGCCUUGAAUACUGCUGUUGAAGCAGGACUCAACCAAGGUCAUGUUGUUCUCCAAGCUGAGCCAAACUUCACCCUUGAUAUACACAAGCCAUCCCUCACAGAUGCCAUCAAAGUAUUAAUCCAGGCCAAUGGUUUAACCAUGAAACCUGACGAAUCUGCCUUGGCAAUUCACCACACCAUGACCUAUAAAGUCCAGAUUUCUUGCUGGUGAUGGCAGAGUCUUUCAACCCAGGACUUAUAGGCAAAACCAACUCAUUUUUCCACCACAAUGGAUCAAUGAGUAUGAGAAAAACAACAGGCCUCAACAGAUCCAUAAGGUCCCAAAAAUAAGCAGGUUGCAAGAAGGUAGGGUAUCAGUCUCUUUUCCUACAGAGACCAAAACUCUCUACCCAUGUGAGAAAUGCCAGCUUGAAGGAAAGCAUGUGGGGCACGUUGGCAUUCUCCUUCAUACCAGGCUACCAUUUUUUCAAAAUAAGCCAGUCGUUCUUUUGGCUUCAUUCCAUCAAUGUUCCAGAACAUCUUUCCAGUUGUGGAGUGCUCUAAUUGUACCCUGGUUUCACAUUCUUCUCCUUGGGAUACUUCAUCUAUAUAUGGGGCACGUUCAGCAGUUUGGUCAGCGGGAUUUGAGGAUGCUUCGGCUUCUGCAGGAGCUACAGGAAGAAAAUGGAUUUGGAGGAUUUGCCCUUUGCAUAAGAAUAGGAAUUGGAGGGAUUCCUGUGGUGUCAUCAGAGGAGAUACUUGAUUCUUCUUCAGCAUCGGAUUCCUCAUCCCAUCCUGUAGUCUUCUGGGGCCAUGGGUAUUGAGGAGGAGGUGCAUAGCUUCUCCAGAAUGCUUUCUGACAGUUGCCAAAUGCAUUUUCCUCCCAGAUAUGCCAUGGUUUUGUAGGUUUGCUCUUCCAGUGUCUGGACACUUUCUUCUUGUGAUAGCUUUCCCUUGUUCUUUCCAUUUCAUCUUCAUCUGCAGCUCCAGUCAUAACAAUCAUGUUGAUAGACCUAGAGGCAUUAUCAUGCAGUUGGGAAAACUGCUGAGUAGAUAUUUUAUGCUGUUUUCUGUUCUUCUUUAGCUGCUUUCUGAUAACAGCUAAAUCAGCAAGAAUUUACUGUUGGGUAACCAUGAUAUCUCCCAAUGCCUGGUUCUGUUCCACAGCGUUUAUGUUUGACCAGUUGACUGUCUUCUCAAUAGGGCCAAAUUCUGUUGGGUUGGUUUUCUGGAUUACCCAUUUGGCAGCAUACAUUCCUCCAGAAAUAUCCUUGAUGAAUUCAUUAUCAAGGUCUAGAGUGGUAAUCAUGUUGACUGGACCCAUGAUUUUGCAAGAGGUUGUCCUUCUUGGCAUGUGUGUGCACAAAGAGGGAUGCUUUCCUUCAAGCUGGCAUUUCUCACAUGGGUAGAGAGUUUUGGUCUCUGUAGGAAAAGAGACAGAUACCCUACCUUCUUGCAACUUGCUUAUUUUUGGGACCUCAUGGAUCUGUUGAGGCCUGUUGUUUUUCUCAUACUCAUUGAUCCAUUGUGGUGGAAAAAUGAAUUGGUUUUGCCUAUAAGUCCUGGGUUGAAAGACUCUGCCAUCACCAGCAAGAAAUCUGGACUUUAUAGGUCAUGGUGUGGUGAAUUGCCAAGGCAGAUUCGUCAGGUUUCAUGGUUAAACCAUUGGCCUGGAUUAAUACUUUGAUGGCAUCUGUGAGGGAUGGCUUGUGUAUAUCAAGGGUGAAGUUUGGCUCAGCUUGGAGAACAACAUGACCUUGGUUGAGUCCUGCUUCAACAGCAGUAUUCAAGGCCUUUUCAAAAGUUUGCCACCUAGUGUCUAGAAUGGCAAUGAAGCAUGUGAUAUCUUUUCCAGCUAGGAACAAAGGUUGUAUCCCUAUCUGGAUUGCUCCAAGGUGUAAUCCUUUGUAUCCCUGCAGUUUAUACCUUGUAACCUCAUUGGUAGAGAUUAUGGGAAUGUAUGUUUCUUUUAAGCUAAAGGAGAUGGAUUGGACAGUGUUUCAGAGGAUUUAUAGAUGGUUUUAAGUUUAGGCUGUCUGAUGGGGAUUAUGGCUCUUAGGUGGUUAAGAGUAAGGCUAAUAUGGUAGUAUCUAUAGGGGUCUAACGGAUCAAGUCUGAAGGACUGAACCGCUCUCUCACUGCUUUCAUCCUCUUGGGUUUCAUAAUGGAAAUUUAUAGAGGGUGAACUAUCAGUUGGUACUCUGAUGGCCGAGGUGGAUGGUUGAUCAGAAAGUGGUUGGUUACCGGAUCUGUUACUGUUUUAGUUUUCCAUGGCUAAAAGAAAUCAAAGGGUUUUCUUUGAGGUGAUAAGCCCUAAACACGGCACGCUUGGCCUUCUCAAGGGGGCGCCACACCUUACAGAAUUCACUCUGUAGUGUUUUAGGAAUGGAAAACUUGAGACAGGUAGAUCAGUGUUUAACAACUUUCUUAUGUGGAGGAUCCGAAGUAUUUCGGCAACCACAGAGCAUAAUAUUGUUUCACACCCAGGGGUUUCCUUUUGGGAAAUAUGGCUCUGAUACCAAAAUUUGUAUUUCUUGAAAACAAUGGAAGGUUACUUCAUUAAGAGGAAUCAGAGAUUUACAACACAAGAUUGCACUCCAAGACUCGAUGCCUAGACUCAAACCAAGGACUCCCUUUUGUAGCCUCAAGGGAUCCACUAUUACAUAUUGUUUAUAUUAUUGAUCCUUAUCACUAAGGAAUCUACUUUACAACUCAUACUUUACUUUAUGUCACAUCACACUCUCAUCCUUAUCACUAAGGAGAGUACUCAAUACAAAUACAAAUACAAAUACAAAUACAAAUACAAAUACAAAUACAAAAACAAAUAUUAUUAUCACUAUAUCCUCUCUCUUCAUUUCCCUCGGAUUCUUCUAUCAACAGUGCUCCCCAAUAAUGGUCACUAGCAUCUGUUUGUAAGAUGAGCUGUCCCUUGUCAGGUAUCUUUAAUGGUGGGAGUGACUGGCACUUUUGCUUUAAGUCUGUCACAGCUUUUGUCGCGUCUUCCGACCAUUGUGGGGCACCUUUCUUUAAGUGCUUUGAUAUCUGACUCGUCAUUUUUGACAGGUUCUGCACAUGGUCUGCUGUAUAGUUUAUUAUCCCAAGGAAUUGCCGGAUCUGCUUUCUGGUUGACAGCUGGUCUGGGAAUUGGGAUAUUUUUUCAGCAAUAUGUGGCUGAGGAAUGAUGAAUCCCUGUUUGAUAUGUAAUCCCAAAAAAUCUACUUCACCAAGGCCUAUCUUCAUCUUUGGUUCUGACAGAGCUAACCCAUGCUUGUAGGUUAGGGCUUUGAAUUGAGACAGGUGCUCAGCAUGUUCUUCAUCACUGUUGCUGAAGAUAAGAGCAUCGUCAAUGUAGAUAAGGCAAAAUCCUGAGAUGCAUUUGUAUACCUCAUCCAUUCUGUUUUGGAAUUCUGACUGUGCAUUCUUUAGGCCGAAAGGCAUCACGUUCCAUUCAUAAUGCCCAUGGGGGACUACAAAUGAUGUCUUGUGUCUGUCUUCUUCUUUAAUUCCAAUUUGCCAAAAGCCUGACUUCAUGUCAAAUUUUGAGAACACUUUUGCUCCAGCAAUGCGUUUCAAAAGGUGUGUCCUCCGUGGAAUGGGGUAUCUUAUGUCCUGUAAACAAUCAUUCAGCUUCCUGUAGUCUAUCACCAAUCGCUUUUUCCCACGUAUCUGUUCUGAAUGCUUGUUGACAUAAAAUGCUGGGCUGGCCCAAUGAGACUUAGAGGGCGUGAUGAGCUUCAGAUCCAUAAGUGUUUGGAUCUCUGUUUUGCACAGUUCUUCGUCAUGGGGCAUGCCUGGAUGAGAAGCUGUUUGGUGAGGCAUGGUCCAUCCUUCUUUAUAGGGUAGAGACACAAAAUGAUGUUCUCUAGCCCAGAACUGGUUUGGCACUUCUGCACAGCAUUCGAUCUGGGGUUCAUCUUUUUGGAUUGGGUCGUCCAUUGAUUUUGAUGUGAGGUCUGAAGAGAGAGGAUGGUUGCAUUGCCAGUUUAAUCUGAAGAGGAUCAUGGACAACCAUAACAAGGUCCUCAUCUUCAGAAUCACUGUCAGAGCAGGUAGAAGAGUCGCUAUCCUCAGUAUCAGAGAUCCCAUGGUUUUGUAGGUUUGCUCUUCCAGUGUCUGGACACUUUCUUCUUGUGAUAGCUUUCCCUUGUUCUUUCCAUUUCAUCUUCAUCUGCAGAUCCAGUCAUAACAAUCAUGUUGAUAGACCUAGAGGCAUUAUCAUGCAGUUGGGAAAACUGCUGAGUAGACAUUUUAUGUUGUUUUCUGUUCUUCUUUAGCUGCUUUCUGAUAACAGCUAGAUCAGCAAGAAUUUACUGUUGGGUAACCAUGAUAUCUCCCAACGCCUGGUUCUGUUCCACAGCGUUGAUGUUUGACCAGUUGACUGCCUUCUCAAUAGGGCCAAAUUCUGUUGGGUUGGUUUUCUGGAUUACCCAUUUGGCAGCAUACAUUCCUCCAGGAAUAUCCUUGAUGAAUUCAUUAUCAAGGUCUGGAGUGGUAAUCAUGUUGACUGGACCCAUGAUUUUGCAAGAGGUUGUCCUUCUUGGCAUGUGUGUGCACAAAGAGGGAUGCUUUCCUUCAACCUGGCAUUUCUCACAUGGGUAGAGAGUUUUGGUCUCUGUAAGAAAAGAGACUGAUACCCUACCUUCUUGCAACUUGCUUAUUUUUGGGACCUCAUGGAUCUGUUGAGGCCUGUUGUUUUUCUCAUACUCAUUGAUCCAUUGUGGUGGAAAAAUGAGUUGGUUUUGCCUAUAAGUCCUGGGUUGAAAGACUCUGCCAUCACCAGCAAGAAAUCUGGACUUUAUAGGUCAUGGUGUUGUGAAUUGCCAAGGCAGAUUCGUCAGGUUUCAUGGUUAAACCAUUGACCUGGAUUAAUACUUUGAUGGCAUCUGUGAGGGAUGGCUUGUGUAUAUCAAGGGUGAAGUUUGGCUCAACUUGGAGAACAACAUGACCUUGGUUGAGUCCUGUUUCAACAGCAGUAAUCAAGGCCUUUUCAAAAGUUUGCCACCUAGUGUAGAAUGGCAAUGUGUGAUAUCUUUUCCAGCUAGGAACAAAGGUUGUAUCCCUAUCUGGAUUGCUCCAAGGUGUAAUCAUUUGUAUCCCUGCAGUUUAUACCUUGUAACCUCAUUGGUAGAGAUUAUGGGAAGGUAUGUUUCUUUUUAGCUAGAGGAGAUGGAUUGGACAGUGAUUUCAGAGGAUUUAUAGAUGGUGUUAAGUUUAGGCUGUCUGAUGGGGAUUAUGGCUCUUAGGUGGUUAAGAGUAGGGCUAAUAUAGUAGUAUCUAUAGGGGUCUAACGGAUCAAGUCUGAAGGACUGAACCGCUCUCUCACUGCUUUCAUCCUCUUGGGUUUCAUAAUGGAAAUUUAUGGAGGGUGAACUAUCAGUUGGUACUCUGAUGGCCGAGGUGGAUGGUUGAUCAGAAAGUGGUUGGUUACCGGAUCUGUUACUGUUUUGGUUUUCCAUGGCUAAAAUAAAUCAAAGGGUUUUCUUUGAGGUGAUAAGCCCUAAACACGGCACGCUUGGCCUUCUCAAGAGGGCGCCACACCUUACAGAAUUCACUCUGUAGUGUUUUAGGAAUGGAAAACUUGAGACAGGUAGAUCAGUGUUUAACAACUUUCUGAUGUGGAGGAUCCGAAGUAUUUCGGCAACCACAGAGCAUAAUAUUGUUUCACACCCAGGGGUUUCCUUUUGGGAAAUAUGGUUCUGAUACCAAAAUUUGUAUUUCUUGAAAACAAUGGAAGGUUACUUCAUUAAGAGGAAUCAGAGAUUUACAAUACAAGAUUGCACUCCAAGACUCGAUGCCUAGACUCAAACCAAGGACUCCCUUUUAUAGGCUCAAGGGAUCCACUAUUACAUAUUGUUUACAUUAUUGAUCCUUAUCACUAAGGAAUCUACUUUACAACUCAUACUUUACUUUAUGUCACAUCACACUCUCAUCCUUAUCACUAAGGAGAGUACUCAAUACAAAUACAAAUACAAAUACAAAUAUUAUUAUGAAAAGUAGAAAACUAUCCAAUCCACAUUUUAUGUCAACAAGCAUUCAGAACAGAUACGUGGGAAAAAGCGAUUGGUGAUAGACUACAGGAAGCUGAAUGAUUGUUUACAGGACAUAAGAUACCCCAUUCCACGGAGGACACACCUUUUGAAACGCAUUGCUGGAGCAAAAGUGUUCUCAAAAUUUGACAUGAAGUCAGGCUUUUGGCAAAUUGGAAUUAAAGAAGAAGACAGACACAAGACAUCAUUUGUAGUCCCCCAUGGGCAUUAUGAAUGGAACGUGAUGCCUUUCGGCCUAAAGAAUGCACAGUCAGAAUUCCAAAACAGAAUGGAUGAGGUAUACAAAUCCAUCUCAGGAUUUUGCCUUAUCUACAUUGACGAUGCUCUUAUCUUCAGCAACAGUGAUGAAGAACAUGCUGAGCACCUGUCUCAAUUCAAAGCCCUAACCUACAAGCAUGGGUUAGCUCUGUCGAAGUAACACAUAUCAAAGGAGAAUCCAAAACCACCACUUGCUAGGUCUCAAAAUCCACAUUAGCAUUAUCUCCAAAAGUCGUAAUUUGAUUGGUCAGCUGGAUAUUCUUCCUCCCCCACCAAGACAACCACUCGUUAUGUCUCAACAUGUGCCCUUCAAAAAAAAAAAGUGAAAUAUUAAACAUUAUGUGGAACUUACAUCCUUAAACCCAUGGAUGAAACUAUGUUGCAACGGUUGCAGCAUACCACUACUUCUACUUUUUUGUGGUUUGGCACACUACCUUAUAUUUUAUGAAAAAUUAAAUAGGAACUAGAAGUUACAAUUUUUUACAUAUAAAUCCUUUUUUUUUUGGGAUAAAUGGCAUUUGAGAGAAACCAUAACUGUUGUCUAAUACGCUUUGGGUGUGUUUGGUUAUAGUAUUAAGGGGUAUUAAAUUACUAUUCAUAUUAAAUUAAUACUAAUAUCAUGUUUAGAAAAACAUGGGUAUGAGUUAAGGGUACUGUAGCCUUGCGUUUUUUUUUUCUUUUCCUUUUUUUGCUUUUGCUUUUUGCUUUUUGCUUUUUGCUUUUUGCUUUUGUUUUUGCUUUAUAACAAUAAUAAUAAAUAAAUAUAAAAUUUUCAUAUAAUAUAAUAUUUUUAUUUUUACAUUAUAAUUUAUUAAUAAAUUUAUAAUACAAUAUAACUAAUAAUAAAUACUUAAAUAUGAAUAAAUUUAGAAAAUAUUAAUUUAAAAUUAAUAAGAAUAUAAAUAAUAAUAUAAUAUAUAAUUUACAUUAAUUACAAAAAAAUUAAUACAGUACAGUGUAGCGCCAAACAUUGUACAACAUUAUUAUAAUACAAUGUUAAUACAAUAAAGCAUAAUAGAAUACACCAACAUUAAAAUAAUGUAAUACAGCAUAAUACAAUACAGUGUGUCAAAUUCACCUUUUAGGGUGUGUCUAGAACAUAAUAUUACAUAGUAUUGCAAUACUAUGUUUGCUGGAUUGUGGUGCAUUACAUUAAUUUAUAACGCACCACAAUGCGCCAUUUUAAUUAUAUUUUAAUUGUUAUUAUAGUAAAGGGAAAUUAUCUCCUCACCACCUUUAUUUUUUCAUAUGUGCAUCUAACCACCACAAAAUUUGGACUUGUUUUUUGCACUAUUUUUUUAAGUUUGAAACAAUUAAUUGCUUUAACACUAAAAAUAAUCAUUUUACCUAAAAGACUAUUUUAUUCUACAAAAUCUUUAAAAAUUAAUAUCUUGUAAUUAUAAUUUUUUAUAAUUAUAAUUUCAUUUAAUUUUUGUAAUUAAAUUUAGUAUAGGGAAGUUUACAAAAUUAACAUGAAGAAAAAGCUCCCCGUAAUUAUUGUAAACGUCUCUAUAACUAAUAAGAAAAAUGACACUUACACCUCCAAGAUUUGGAGAAAUGGCCCCAAAGACCCUCAAAUUUUCAAGAAGGGACAUCAAGACCCCUUUUUAACCAUAAUACCCUUUGAAUUUAGUAAUUUAGAAAAUGGACUUUGAAGUUUUUGAUUAAUAAAACUUUAAUAUAAAUAAUAUAAUCUAUCUAGUACACUAAUAAUAUUAAAUUGUUUUUAACAUUUAAAAUAAUAUUAAUUUUUAAGUUAUUAUAUUUAUUUUAACAAUAUAUUUAUAUUUAUUAUAGAGAUUUUAAACAAAUCUUUGGGUUAAAUAGAUUUUACAAUUAACAAAAUAUCUCCCUAUUAAUAAUAUUAAAUUAUUUUUAAUAAUCAAAAUAAUUUUGACUUAAAUUUAUUUAUUUUAAUAUGAUGUUUCUAUUUAUUAUAAAAUUUUGGGGUCAGUUUUUUGGGUUGAUAAAGUCAAAGGGUAUUAUUGUUAAAAAAAAGGUCUUAGUGCCUUUAUUGAAAACAUGGGGAUUUUUGUGACCAUUUCCUUAAAUAUUCGGGGUAUAAGCGUCCUUUUUCCCAAUUAAUAUUAAGAAACUUCCUUAUACAAAUUAAAUGAAAUUAUAAUUACAAAAAAUUAACAGGAUAAUUUUUUAAAUGAAAGUAUAAUUAUAAAAUAAUUAACAUAUUAUAUUUGAGAUUUAUUUAUUUUAUUAAAUUUAGGGGUAUUAUUGUAAUUAUAAUUUUUUGUUUUUAAAAAUUUGUAGAAUAAAAUAUUUUGUUAGGCCAUGUUCGGUUGUAGGAAAAGAGAAGAGAGUAGAGGAGAGGAAAAGAGAGGAGGAGAAAAGAAAGGAGAAGAAAAGGGUGGAGAGUUUAAUUUCCUUUGUUCAGUUUAAGCUAGAAUUAGUAGAGGAAAUGAAUUUUAUAAUUUUUUAUUUAGAUAAAUUUACCAUUUUAUUAGAUUUUUAAUAUUUAUUAUUAAAUUAAUUAAAAAACUAGAAAUAUGUUUAACUAUUUUAAAGUUAGUGUCAAGGUUAAUGUUUCAUCCUUAAUGUCCUAACUACAUUUAUAGUGAUUUUAUUAAAAGUGCUUUUUCUUAUCAUUGUCAAAAGUGCUUUUACCAAUUAUUAUCCAAUUGCUUUUAUCAAAUGUAUUUUUUUAAAAUAAAAAACAUUAAUAUUAUUUCAAAAAUAGCCUAUAAUAUUACUACAAAAAUAUUAAAUUUCAAAUGGUCAAAUGAAAUAAUAAAAAAUACUUGGUCAAAUUUCAAGUGCUCAAAUAUCAAGUGCUCAAAUGAGUUAAGCUAGACAUUAAUAAGCCAUAACAUUCAAGCAUGAGUUAAAUUUCCUUAUUAAGGAAAACUUUAACCCAUGUUUCUCUAUCCUCAUCACAAAGACUAUAGAAAACAUUAAGCGCCGCACUAUCACAAGCAAUUUGGGUGGUGGCUUGAAGUCGUUCUACCGUUGUAAGACCACUAAUCUUCUUCAACUCUUCACUCAAUUAAGCAAGCUUAAUUGCAUUCAAUUAAGUACAACAGCUGUAAAAAAGCAAGAACAAUGAGUAAAAUAGUAAAAACAAUAGUAACCAGCAAGAAAAAUAGCAAGCAUAACAGCAGCAAACAGUAAAAACAGCAAAUGACAAGUGAAACGAUGGCUGAAAUACCAAAAAUAGCAAGUAAAACAGCAAAAACUAGCAACUAAAACAGUAAAAAAAUAGGAAAAAAAGUUAUAACCAGCAAGUAUAACAGUAAAGAUAGCAAGUAAAACAAUAACAAAAGUAGUAACCAACAAGUUUAACGGUAAAAAUAGCAAGUAAAACAACAAAACAAUAAGCAAGUAUAACAGUAAAAAUAACAAGUAAAAUAGUAAAAACAAUAAAAAAAAAGUAGUAAUAAGCAAGUAUAACGAUAAAAAACAACAAGUAGAAUAGCAAAAACAGCAAAGAAGAGUAGUAACCAAUAGGUAUAACAAUAAAAACAACAAGUAAAACAAUGAAAACAACAAAAAAGUAGUAACCAACAGGUAUAAUAGUAAAAGCAGCAAAAACAGCAAAAACUAGCAAGAAUAAUAGCAAAAACAGCAGUAACCAGCAAGUAUAACAACAUCAAACAGUAAAACAAAAAAACAGCAGAUAGAUUAGAAAAACACAUUAAUAAUAAGUAUUGUGGAGAAGAUAAUUUAUCAGAACAUUAAAUUCAUGUUAUUUUGAAACUUCAAACAAUUUACUGAACCUUCUUCAUUAACUUCAGCAUAUACAAAAUAAAAACAUCUCACAAAAUGUUUCUUGUAGCAAUUAAUUAAAUAAAUAACAACAACAGCAAAGUAACAGGUUACAAAGCAGCAAACUAUCUAAUGAAAAUUGAAAUUAACUUGGAAAGCUCUAUAUAAAAUUUUUUGAACACAAUCAAAGGAAUAAUUGCAAUUUCUCUACCAUUGCAUGAUGUUUAUUUCUAUUAAUUUGCAACAAGUCCAAAAUCGAAAGUACUAGCUCCUAAGAAUAAUUGUAAAUUUUACUAGCCAUCCAUUUCCUUCAAAAAAUCACUAGUCACACUUCAUCUUGUGCCUUGUUAUCGCAUUAAUAAAGUACAAUCCAAUAAGACAUAUAUAUAUAUAUUUUUUUUUGUGGUUUACACAUGAAGGUGGAAGCUAUAUUUGCUAAAACUCCACCCACAAAAAUACCUUAGCCGAAUAAUUAGGAUAAUUUUUUCUUAAUGUAAAGUCAACUACGGAUUGGAAAUAUGCUUCUAGAUGCAAUCAUAAUUUUUGGGGCAAAAUUAACAUUUUUUUUCUUAGACAGUUCAUCAAACACUUGGUAGGCAUAUAUCUAUAAAUUCAUCCAUUCACAAUAUAAAGUAACAAAAUCUUAAUCAAAGCCUCAUAAUAACUUAAUCAAACAAAAUGCAACAUCUAAAAUUUCAAAAUUUGUUCAAAUUAAAGCAACAGAAUCUAAAAUAGCCCUCUUCAAACUCAUUCUCCAUCAUCUCAUGAGCUAAACUCAUUAAAUAACCACAAUAGCCACACAAGAAUAAUUACAACAACUAACAAUAACAAAUUAAUAAUACCAUCAAAACGAUAAAAGUGACAACACUAAAACAUAUGAAAAGAGAUGAAAAUUUGUACCUAGGGUGAGAAACCAUGAAGCUAAAGCGUUGAUACUUGCUAAGAUAGCUCUGGCAAACAGACCCACUGUCGUAGCUCACCGACCAACAUAUGAGGCUCACUAUCGGAAGUUCAAAGAGAUUUUAAUUUUUGUUUCUAAGAUGAUUUGAUUUGAUUUUGAGUUAUGAGAGUUGUGAAAUCAUAGAAUAAUUUGCAAAUUAGGGUUAUUUGUGAAAGGGUAGAAUUGGGAAUAAAAAAAUAUAAUCAAGGGUAAAAUUGAGAAUUUAAGUCUUUUGGUUGUGUGGAAUUUAGAUUUCCUCACUCUUGCGAGAGAAGACCGAAUUCCUCUAGCUUACAGAAACUGGAUUUCCAUCAGAAUUUGACUUCCCAUCUAGUGUUGCCAACCAAAUAGUGGAAAUCAUAGAAGGAAUCCAAAUGCUCUCCUCUCCCGUGUGGUUU